rnacentral:sRNA from 1 species
UGAGAUUGUUUUGCUUUCGCAUAGGCCUC